UACGUAGGAGACGAGCGUUGUCCGGAGUUACUGGGCGUAAAGGGUGCGCAGGUGGCGGCGCGCGUGGGGGGUGAAAUCGCCCGGCUUAACUGGGCGGGGGCCUUCCAGACGGCGUGGCUUGAGCAGCGGAGGGGGACGUGGAAUUCCGGGUGGAGCGGUGAAAUGCGUAGAUAUCGGGAGGAACACCAGUGGCGAAGGCGGCCAACUGGCCCGAUACUGACGCUCAUGUGCGAAAGCGUGGGGAGCAAACAGG
rnacentral:rRNA from 1 species